AGUGAACGCUGGCGGUAGGCCUAACACAUGCAAGUCGAACGGCAGCACAGUAAGAGCUUGCUCUUACGGGUGGCGAGUGGCGGACGGGUGAGGAAUACAUCGGAAUCUACUUUUUCGUGGGGGAUAACGUAGGGAAACUUACGCUAAUACCGCAUACGACCUACGGGUGAAAGCAGGGGAUCUUCGGACCUUGCGCGAUUGAAUGAGCCGAUGUCGGAUUAGCUAGUUGGCGGGGUAAAGGCCCACCAAGGCGACGAUCCGUAGCUGGUCUGAGAGGAUGAUCAGCCACACUGGAACUGAGACACGGUCCAGACUCCUACGGGAGGCAGAAGUGGGGAAUAUUGGAAAAUGGGCGGAAGACUGAUCCAGCCAUACCGCGUGGGUGAAGAAGGCCUUCGGGUUGUAAAGCCCUUUUGUUGGGAAAGAAAAGCAGCAGGUUAAUACCCCGCUGUUCUGACGGUACCCAAAGAAUAAGCACCGGCUAACUUCGUG
rnacentral:rRNA from 1 species